CGAUCACGGCAAGAAGAAGAUGAAGAGUGAUAGCUUAAUUAUUUUAACUUGAUUACCACAAAUAUCUCAUGUUAGGCUUGGUUACGUGAAGUCUAAUGUCAUUAUUUUUUUUCUUUUGGACAAUGGACAAUAUGACAAGCAGAAGUAAGAUAGUUACGUGCCUAACUCAAAACUGAAAACUAGAUUCUUCAAAUGAUUAAGCCAUAGGGACAUUAUGCAAAUCCUAGAAUGAUUUAUAUUAUUUCAGUGGCAGAUGGCCUUGGUGUUUUGAUGUUGACAACACCUUAUGUCAAGCGGCGUUCGGAGGAGUCCUUGAGGAUAUCUAAUCAAGAAAUCAUUGAUGAUGGUGUCUAUCAAAGAAGUAAUAUCAAGUAUCAUCAAAUAAAAGAAGUUAAGUCCCAUAUGAAGUGAUGAGUUAAGCAAUGAGACCUUGAAGCUUCAAGGUUAUGAAAGAGAUGAAGUGUGAAAACUCGUCUAGUCCUAUGUUUGAGUGAUUAGUGUGUUAUAAAAGUAUAAGAGUAUAUCCUAAGAUACUAAGGCAAAUCUCACACAUUAAAAUGUUUUUGAAGCUUCUCUUACUUUAUUAAAUCAUCUAAAAAUGUUUUAUGCACGCAUCUAGUUGGUUACUAGCUUGGUUAAACCUUUAGGAGUGUUAUUUACACUAGAUAAUUGAUUAACUCACUAUAGUUAAUUUGUGAUCUCUUUUGUAAUGCCUUUUAAUCGUUUAAGAGAGCUUCUAAUCAAUUAGUGUUUUUACAUGUGAUGGGCAUAAUUUUAUAGACAACAUGUAAUGCAAGAUGCCAUGACAUUAUGUUGAAACAUCCUAUCUCUACGAGCUCAAAACAAGAGGAAAGAUGUCCCACACAUUGAGGAACAUCCUGCCUCAGAAGCUAGCCAACGGAGAAGUGAAUCUUGCGCUCAAUUUAUUUCCUAUAUUGUUUGGUUGUUUUAUGUUCUUUUUGGAAUAAGAAAAGAAUUCCCAAAAGACCAAUUCUCAAUAUAUAAAAAGUCCAACUCAGAUGGAGAAAGAUUUAAUGUAUGAAAUAUAACAAAUCAAAUUAAAGCAAAUUAAUGUGUUGCACUAUUUGAAUUUGAUUCAGCCGCAAGUAUUGUUCAAAACCUUAACGGGCCAUGCAGCUGGAUUCUAUUUAAGAAGGAGCUCGCCAUAUAGAAGAAUCAGACCUUGAAACUAUAAGCAAGACAUUUUUUAGUAUUCUGAGUCUUUUUGUUUUCAUUGUUAAGUUGUGAAACUCUAUUCGCUAGUGUCAUUCCUAUAUAGAGGAAUAUAGUUUGUUUUUAGUUGUAAUUGGUUUCAUCAUUCAUACCAUAUUGUAAUUGUUCAAACAUUGGGAAAGUGGUUGAGAAAAACUUAGAGGGGUCUCAUAUUCAGGGGAGUCCUUAAUAGAAAUUCACGAGUAGUAUUAAAAAAAUACUUAGAACUCAAAAGUAAAUUGUAAUUGUACUUUUAUUAUUAAGAAUGAAUUUCCUUUCUUGGGUUGACGCCCUUAAGAUGUAGAUGA